rfam:Salmo salar isolate Sally breed double haploid chromosome ssa24, whole genome shotgun sequence.
UUCCCUGUGGCUCAGUUGGUAGAGCAUGGUGUGUGUGCAACGCCAGGGUUGUGGGUUCGAUUCCCACGGGGGGGG